rnacentral:rRNA from 1 species
AGUGAACGCUGGCGGUAGGCCUAACACAUGCAAGUCGAACGGCAGCACAGUAAGAGCUUGCUCUUACGGGUGGCGAGUGGCGGACGGGUGAGGAAUACAUCGGAAUCUACUUUUUCGUGGGGGAUAACGUAGGGAAACUUACGCUAAUACCGCAUACGACCUACGGGUGAAAGCAGGGGAUCUUCGGACCUUGCGCGAUUGAAUGAGCCGAUGUCGGAUUAGCUAGUUGGCGGGGUAAAGGCCCACCAAGGCGACGAUCCGUAGCUGGUCUGAGAGGAGGAUCGGCCACACUGGAACUGAGACACGGUCCAGACUCCUACGGGAGGCAGCAGUGGGGAAUAUUGGACAAUGGGCGCAAGCCUGAUCCAGCCAUACCGCGUGGGUGAAGAAGGCCUACGGGUUGUAAAGCCCUUUUGUUGGGAAAGAAAAGCAGCAGGUUAAUACCCCGCUGUUCUGACGGUACCCAAAGAAUAAGCACCGGCUAACUUCGUG